rnacentral:lncRNA from 1 species
GGACCUAGAGCUAGAAAUGACUGAAAUAUCUUCCAACAUUACUUUCUUCACCUAGAACACUAAAUACACACACAUUGAGAGAGCCUCAGGAUCAGAAAACGUACAAAAAGGGUCCAGGGGUACUGUUCCAUUGGUCGAUUUUCUAGGUUUUUUCAAAAGAUCUUUCACUGUUUUUGUUGUUUCUGGGUUCCAAACAUGGACUGAAUUUUUUAACUUGUUGCUGAUCUAUUAUUGCUUACUUCCUCCUAACCUCAGGUUGUUUUCUUGUUGUUUUUGCUGCAUUCAGGUACUUCUUAGACCCCCAUGAAGGUGUGAAAUGCAAGUUUGAAGCUAUGUAAUCAAUUGGAGAUUUCGAGAUGAACACUAGUUUCCUUUUAUUGAAUGGUAGCUGUGUCUUGUAGAAGUUUCUGUAUUAACUUAGUAUAUUUAUGGUUUAUUGUGAUUAUUCAUGCCCUUAGAGUUGUAUCUCAUCUUAGGGUUGGAUUUUGGGCUCUAGGUUAUCAUUCUGGAAUUGUUUUUUUGUCAAAAAACUUCUCUUGUUGAAUGCCUAGUCCUUAGCUGUCACGGGCUGAUUUUCUUUUGUUUAAAGUUGUUAGGUGUAGUGGUCUUGCUAUACUAAGGGAUCAUGGUAUCUAUGGACUGUGUUAAGGUCUAAAUUGUAUGUUAACUUUGUAUUUUGGUGAAUAAAGUGUUUUGGAU